rnacentral:rRNA from 1 species
CCCUUAGAUGUUCUGGGCUGCACGCGCGCUACACUGAUACUUUCAGCGAGUCCACCACCUUGCCUGGGAGGGUGGGGUAACCUCUGGAAAGUGCAUCGUGAUGGGGAUCGAUUAUUGUAAUUAUUAAUCUUCAACGAGGAAUUCCUAGUAAGCAUGUGUCAUCAGCCCGUGCUGAUUACGUCCCUGCCCUUUGUACACACCGCCCGUCGCUACUACCGAUUGAACGGUUUAGUGAGGGCCUCGGAUUGGUCUCGGCCCGCUCUUUACCGGGCGGCGCCGUUGGUCGAGAAGACGCUCGAACUUGAUCGUUUAGAGGAAGUAAAAGUCGUAACA